AAAAAAAACAACAAACUACUUUCCUAAUUUCACCCCAGCACAUGGGAUUUAGGCAGCCUGUUACAUCUGUCAUCAGCAUGCCCUGCUCGCUGGUGUGUGGUAUCAAUUACUUUAUCUAAUGAUGCCCCUGAAUUUACAUCCUUCCAUAAUGCUUGCCCUUUCUCACUCCAUGUCCACCUCCCUUCAUCCCUAAUUCCGCCUGUGGUGGUAACCCCGAAAGAAGAGAGGUUUCAACUGCCAGAGAUGUCCUUUCCCCCUGGUGUGAGUAGUGCUGUAGAAUUCCCAAGUAGUUAUCCAAGCGGUAAAUAAAGC